rnacentral:rRNA from 1 species
UACAGAGGUCCCAAGCGUUGUUCGGAUUUACUGGGCGUAAAGGGUGCGUAGGUGGCGAGGUAAGUUCGAUGUGAAAUCUCCGAGCUCAACUCGGAAAUGGCAUUGAAUACUAUCCCGCUUGAGGGUCGGAGGGGAGACUGGAAUUCUCGGUGUAGCAGUGAAAUGCGUAGAUAUCGAGAGGAACACCAGUGGCGAAGGCGGCCCUCUGGUCCAGUACUGACACUCAAGUGCGAAAGCGUGGGGAGCAAACAGG